GACGUAGGGUGCGAGCGUUGUCCGGAAUUAUUGGGCGUAAAGAGCUCGUAGGCGGCCUGUUGCGUCCGCUGUGAAAGCCCGGGGCUUAACCCCGGGUCUGCAGUGGAUACGGGCAGGCUAGAGGUAGGUAGGGGAGAAUGGAAUUCCCGGUGUAGCGGUGAAAUGCGCAGAUAUCGGGAGGAACACCGGUGGCGAAGGCGGUUCUCUGGGCAGUAACUGACGCUGAGGAGCGAAAGCGUGGGGAGCGAACAGG
rnacentral:rRNA from 1 species